UUAGGUUUUGCACACAUUCUGCACGACGCUGCGAAGCUCAAAACCUCGAAGGACCUUGAAGCGAACAUCCCCCGUGCCAUAUCAACGUUGUCGCAGUACCGCCUUGCCGUAGGCUGCCCCGCUGUGGUUGUCAGCUGUGUCGUGGUUGGCUGUUUGGUGUUGACGUCAAUUGUAGUGUCGUGCGCGCCCCGCUGUGCCCUGCUGUGGAAGGGUUUGAUUAAUUUAGAGAGAUGGGUGGGAGCAAGAAGAGGAAGAGAAACGAAGAGCAGAGAGGAGGCACGAUGUAUUAAAAAAACCCACCGGACUGCUCUUUUGGCUUCUCUCCACCCUGAAUUCCACCCCUUUUCCUUCAAUUCUUGCAUCCUCACUCACGCGCGUCUUGCUCUAUCAUCGCCACGCUCUCAACUGGCUACAACUACCAUUAAACCCAUACAAGUUGAAGUGUGAUAAAGAACCCUUGAACUGUAGGCUACUAGAAAACGUUUGAGGGCCAUCAAUGAAUCUCGUGCUCAGAAGAGGAAGGCCUUUGUUAAAGGAGGUGUGGGUGGGAAGAAAAGCUUUAGAAGGUUAUUUGAAAUGUUGUACUUGGUCUGUAUAUGAUCGCCUUUUGGAAUGAAAUUUUUUCAGAAAUGGUUGGUGUGACUUCGUUAUAUAUAGUGAUGGAUUUGAGUCAGUUGAAUGGGGAAGAGUUCCAAGGAUUGACAAUAAAAGAAUUGCAGAAAUUGGAGGAACUUCUUCAAAGACAUUGGACCACUAUUUCAAAAAUUAAGUACUGCUGAUGGUGAGGCCAAGCUUGUGGAAGGUGAACUUUCAAAAUGCUGGAGAACUAAAAAAUAAAAAUAAAAAUGCAUUCUACAUCGGUUCUAAAAGGACCGAUGUAAAAUGCUAAUUCUACAUCGACUAUCCUAUAAUCGAUGUAGAAUGUUCAACAUUCUAAGACGGUCGUUCGCAACCGUAGUAGAAAAUAUUUUUCCUUUUUACGUCGUAACUCGAAUACCCGGUGCAGAAAGCCUUAUUUGUGGUAGUGGUUGUAACUAUCAUGGCUUGCUUAGCGCCCAAAGUUUCUUCUUGACAAAAAAAGGGAUUAAGGAGGUUGCAAGCAUUUUUGUUUUAAAUAAUAUAAUUUUUGUUAAACAAGAAGAUGCAAAUGUUUGUCUACUUGAAGGUGAUCCUCCACAGAUGUGAGAAAGGUUAAGAUCAGUUUGGAGUGUCGAAGAAAAAUCUCAAGGGGGAGUGUUAACAGUUUGAGAUUUUUCUGUUGUCAUAAAAUAUCUUUGCAGAUUUUAUGACUGCUUGUAAGUUUGGUUAAAGGUUGUUUGUGCUCAGAAAAAGCAACUUGCAGCUGUUAGCUAAUUAUGUAUAGUUUUAGUUAGCCAUAAUUUGUUGUUUAUUUCACCUUAUCAAGGGCUUGUUAGUUUCUCUAUCCAAAGCCUUGCUGUAACAAGUUCUAAGUGUUCAGAAAUCUGAGUUCGAAUUUGAAGCAA